AGUGAACGCUGGCGGUAGGCCUAACACAUGCAAGUCGAACGGCAGCACAGUAAGAGCUUGCUCUUACGGGUGGCGAGUGGCGGACGGGUGAGGAAUACAUCGGAAUCUACUUUUUCGUGGGGGAUAACGUAGGGAAACUUACGCUAAUACCGCAUACGACCUACGGGUGAAAGCAGGGGAUCUUCGGACCUUGCGCGAUUGAAUGAGCCGAUGUCGGAUUAGCUAGUUGGCGGGGUAAAGGCCCACCAAGGCGACGAUCCGUAGCUGGUCUGAGAGGAUGAUCAGCCUCACUGGAACUGAGACACGGUCCAGACUCCUACGGGAGGCAGCAGUGGGGAAUAUUGGACAAUGGGCGCAAGCCUGAUCCAGCCAUACCGCGUGGGUGAAGAAGGCCUUCGGGUUGUAAAGCCCUUUUGUUGGGAAAGAAAAGCAGCAGGUUAAUACCCCGCUGUUCUGACGGUACCCAAAGAAUAAGCACCGGCUAACUUCGU
rnacentral:rRNA from 1 species